ACAAGACCCGGUUCAAUUGGUGGCUGGAUCGGCCGAAAUCGGCUCGAGAAGCCCAAUCUCCUCGCUGCACGUUUGGGCGUCUUCAAGCGCGUUUUCUCGGUGCCUCAAGCGACAGCUGGCGAGGGGGACAGGCUGGGGUGGAGCGUCGGCGAGCUGGGAAGGCUGGGGCUGCGGUGGGGCGACGAGAGGAGGAGAGAGGACAGAGAAAAUGAGAGAGAACGAGGGAGUGUCGGGCGCGUGCACGGAGGGAAGAAGAAAAGGAAAUGGACCGGUCCGAUUCGCCCGGUUCGAUAUGGUCCG
rnacentral:misc_RNA from 1 species